CAGUUGGGAAGCUCUCUUAAACUGGGUGGCAGACUGAGAGGCUGUGUGCCAAAGGGUCUCCCUGAAGAAGCCAAUUUAGGAGCUGCCAAGGACUUGGAUUAUCUUUUAAGAUUGAGUUCUACUCUGCGUCGGGGGCUCAUUGGACUUGGACCUGUAAAAAAAAAAUGAGACUUAUAACUGGAAGUUGUCUUAGAAAUCAUCUAGUGGGGGCAGGGAGCAAGAAGAGCAGGGAAGGAGGAAGGAGGAGAGAGAGUCAGAAGAAGGAAGAGGAUGUGGAAUUCAAAAUUUUUUUUUAAGUUGCAAAAAUUGUUUUUACAUAUAAUAGGGAAAAAUA